rnacentral:rRNA from 1 species
GCCGAAAGGCAAGAGUGCCCGCAAGGGAGCGCGGAGACAGGUGGUGCAUGGCUGUCGUCAGCUCGUGUCGUGAGAUGUUGGGUUAAGUCCCGCAACGAGCGCAACCCUCACCCUUUGUUGCCAUCAGGUAAUGCUGGGCACUCUAAGGGAACUGCCCCGGUUAACGGGGAGGAAGGUGGGGACGACGUCAAGUCAUCAUGCCCCUUACGCUCUGGGCUACACACGUGCUACAAUGGUCAAUACAAAGGGCUGCGAUCCCGCGAGGGGGAGCCAAUCCCAAAAAGUUGACCUCAGUUCAGAUUGUAGGCUGAAACCCGCCUGCAUGAAGGAGGAAUCGCUAGUAAUCGUGGAUCAGCACGCCACGGUGAAUACGUUCCCGGGCCUUGUACACACCGCCCGUCACACCACGAAAGUCUGUUGUACUCGAAGUCGCUGAG